rnacentral:rRNA from 1 species
AGCGAACGUUUGCGGCGGGCCUAACACAUGCAAGUCGAACGGGCAGUCCCUUCGGGGGCUGUCAGUGGCGCACGGGUGCGUAACACGUAGGUAAUCAACCCUCGGGUUCGGGAUAACACUUCGAAAGGGGUGCUAAUACCGGAUGCGACGAGCGUCUCCUCGGAGAUGCACGGGAAAGAUCCGCAAGGGUCGCCCGAGGACGAGCCUGCGGCCCAUCAGCUUGUUGGUGGGGUAACGGCCUACCAAGGCUACGACGGGUAGCUGGUCUGAGAGGAUGAUCAGCCACACUGGCACUGAGAUACGGGCCAGACUCCUACGGGAGGCAGCAGUGAGGAAUAUUGCGCAAUGGGCGAAAGCCUGACGCAGCGACGCCGCGUGGGGGAUGAAGGUUUUCGGAUUGUAAACCCCUUUCAUGAGGAAAGAUAAAGUGGGUAACCACUUAGACGGUACCUCAAGAAGAAGCCACGGCUAACUUCGUGCCAGCAGCCGCGGUAAUGUCUAGC